AUUCUGAGGGAUUGUAGAUGGAUUAGUGGCUGCAGGAUGAGAUGCUUGUGAAUGAGGAAAUGUGGAGGCAGCCUGAGGAUAGGGUGCCCCUGCUUGAGGUGCUUGAGAAGCAAAUGAAGUGGGAGGUGCUUGAGAAGCAAAUGAAGCGGGAGCAGCAUGAGUUUGUGGACCAGCAGCUGCAGGCUGAGGUGCCUGGGAGGAGACAUAAGAUGGGACUGCCUGUUCAGGGUGCACAGAUGGGUUUGCAGGUGGUACCUCUGAAUGUGAUGAGGUGGGCACAAAAAUAUCUUGCUGCCCGGGUGCAGCAUUCGAUCCAAAAGAGAGGUCGCCAAGAGUGUCUCCAAAACCAAAGCUUGCUGCUGAAGCAGGCUGGAAAGGAUUUGCAUCUGCAGCAGGUUCAGUAGCAUGGAAAGAACCAGCAGGUGCAGCAUUUGUCUGAGAAACUGCAGGAGUUUCUUCAUGAACAGCCUUGAAAGGCGUAGGAUCCCCAAAAGGAUUAGUUGCAUCAAAGGCCUGCAAGGUCAAAAUCCAAAAGGAUAAGAUGAACAGGUGGUUGGAUUUAACUACCAGACAAGGCAAAUUCCAAUCAAAUAAACAUAGAACAACACAACCAUCCCAUCACCAAAACAAGUAUCUUGAUGUUAAUUCAAAAAGUUUGUACUGACCACAAUUCUGUGACCACUACUGCUGCUGUUUAAAUACAUUUAAGAAACAACAUGAUUUAAAUAAAGUUUUGUCCUAUAGUGUGUGUCACUUUGUCGCGUGCAAUUAUUCAAGCCCACAAAAUCAUAGAACUACAAUUCAGUAUAACAGAUCCAUGCCACCAUUAGAACAUGAGAUUAGUAUCGUGAAUGGCCUUAUGUUCAAUAGACGCGUACCUCAUUGAAUCCAGUAGAAGCCGGUGGCAUGCCCAUAAAACUGUUACUCUCAAAUCCUGGAUUUGCUGAUGGCUCAACAUUUGGGCUGGCAGUUGGCUGAGGCACAGAUACCAAAGCCAACGAAUUAAUAGGAUCUGGUCCGAAUAAAUCCAUUUCCAAGCUAUUCACGGCUUGUGAGGGGUUCACUGGAGGUGAGGUAUCUGACAUGGGAUGCAAAUAUUGAAAAAAAAAAUCAGUACUCAAUUACUACCAAAAGAUAUUGAUACUAGUAUAAUGCCAGAAUAGGGGUCAUUCCUUCUACAGUUCUCUUCAUAAAUGUAUCAGAAAAUAAUAUUGUGUGAUGCUUUCUAUUAAUGUGGGCUUUUGGUUCAUAUGCAAUGCAAUGUGUCAAAAAAGGAGGAAAAUAUACCUGGUACUGAUCCACGAGGAUCAAACUCGUCAAACCCAUUAACUUCAGGAUGAGUAGGUGGUGGUGCAGGUACGUCUUCCACAGUAUUAUCAUGUACACCAUUCACCUGACCUGGGGGUACACUUGUUCUUGGAGGUGAAGACACCUUUGCUGCAGCAACUGGCACAGGCACAGUCCCUCCAUUUCUGAUAUUGAACGGUAGUUCAGAAAUCAGAGAUCGUUGUCAUGUCUACUGAUCAAACAUUAUAACAUAAAAUACAUACCGUCCAUCAUGAUUAUUAUCCUGUGUAUCUCUUGUGACAUCUUCAUAGUUUGGCGGUGGUGAAGCAAUCUGCUGGUUAGAAGGCUUCCGCUCCAUGGGCCUACCGAAGGAGGUACAGAACAUAAGAUAAAUUGCUCAAAUAAGACAAGUUAAUAUGUUAUGAACUUAGCAUUUCUCCAUCAUUUACCUCUCAUCCUGAGUAGGUCCGUCAGCAUUGCUUUGCCGGCCACUGUGAUGGAAAAAUGUAUGUAAGUUAGGGUCCAUAAAGAACCAUAAAUAACCAAGUGAAUAUUAGCAACUUAAUGAAAUAACAAUCUUAUAGGCUGCUUAUUGACUGCUAUAUGAACGUGUAAAAAUUUAAAUCCAGAAAAAAACAA
rnacentral:lncRNA from 1 species